rnacentral:rRNA from 1 species
AGGGAUCAUUAUAGAGUUUUCUAAACUCCCAACCCAUGGUGAACUUACCUUUUGUUGCCUCGGCAGAAGUUAUAGGUCUUCUUAUAGCUGCUGCCGGUGGACCAUUAAACUCUCGUUAUUUUAUGUAAUCUGAGCGUCUUAUUUUAAUAAGUCAAAACUUUCAACAACGGAUCUCUUGGUUCUGGCAUCGAUGAAGAACGCAGCGAAAUGCGAUAAGUAAUGUGAAUUGCAGAAUUCAGUGAAUCAUCGAAUCUUUGAACGCACAUUGCGCCCAUUAGUAUUCUAGUGGGCAUGCCUGUUCGAGCGUCAUUUCAACCCUUAAGCCUAGCUUAGUGUUGGGAAUCUACUUCUCUUAGGAGUUGUAGUUCCUGAAAUACAACGGCGGAUUUGUAGUAUCCUCUGAGCGUAGUAAUUUUUUUCUCGCUUUUGUUAGGUGCUAUAACUCCCAGCCGCUAAACCCCCAAUUUUUUGUGGUUGACCUCGGAUCAGGUAGGAAUACCCGCUGAACUUAAGCAUAUCAAUAAGCGGAGGAAAAGAAACCAACAGGGAUUGCCUUAGUAACGGCGAGUGAAGCGGCAACAGCUCAAAUUUGAAAUCUGGCCCUUGGGUCCGAAUUGUAAUUUGUAGAGGAUGAUUUUGGUGCGGUAUCUUCCGAGUUCCUUGGAACAGGACGCCUUAGAGGGUGAGAGCCCCGUACGGUUGAAUGCCUAGCCUCUGUAAAUCUCCUUCGACGAGUCGAGUAGUUUGGGAAUGCUGCUCUAAAUGGGAGGUAAAUUUCUUCUAAAGCUAAAUAUUGGCCAGAGACCGAUAGCGCACAAGUAGAGUGAUCGAAAGAUGAAAAGCACUUUGAAAAGAGGGUUAAAUAGCACGUGAAAUUGUUGAAAGGGAAGGAUUUGUGACCAGACUUUUUCUGGGCGGAUCAUCCGGGGUUCUCUCCGGUGCACUUCGCCCAGUAAAGGCCAGCAUCGGUUUUCGGCGUGGGAUAAAAGCAGUAGGAAUGUGGCUCUCUACGGGGAGUGUUAUAGCCUAUUGUAUAAUACCGCGCUGGGGACCGAGGUUCGCGC